UAAUACGUAGGAUGCAAGCGUUGUUCGGAAUUACUGGGCGUAAAGCGUACGUAGGUGGUAUCAUAAGUCCGUUAUUAAAGACCGAAGCUCAACUUCGGGAAUGUAAUGGAAACUAUGGAACUAGAGGUCAAUAGGGGGAGUCGGAAUUCUCAGUGUAGCGGUGAAAUGCGUAGAUAUUGGGAAGAACACCGGAAGCGAAAGCGGACUCCUGGGUUGAAACUGACGCUGAGGUACGAAGGCGUGGGGAGCAAACGGG
rnacentral:rRNA from 1 species